AAAGUCGUAACAAGGUUUCCGUACGUAACAAGGUUUCCGUAGGUGAACCUGCGGAAGGAUCAUUAACACGUAUCCAACGUUAAACCCCCCGUGAACCUUCAUUGUGCUCCCCCAUUCCGUUAGGACGCGGCAAUCCCUGGUAAAUCAUCGCCGAACAGUUUUGAUUCAGGGACCAUGGAGUGGGCAGCAGCGCGAGGCAAGUGGCCUGGCAUUCCUCUGCUUGUUGGUGUCUGAAAGUGUCACUAGCUCUGUAAGAAUGGCGCAGUAACGAUCGCUAGAGGCCGACACGGCCGGCGACCGGGUCACCGGGCUCACGCCCCCUAAUCCUUUGCAUGAAAACGGGCCUGCGCUUAAUUGUGCGGCCACCAAACUCGAACAACUGUUAACAAUGGAUAUCUUGGUUCUC
rnacentral:misc_RNA from 1 species